CCUACGGGAGGCAGCAGUGAGGAAUAUUGGUCAAUGGCCGAGAGGCUGAACCAGCCAAGUCGCGUGAGGGAAGACGGCCCUACGGGUUGUAAACUUCUUUUGUCGGGGAGCAAAGCGAACCACGUGUGGCUCAUUGAGAGUACCCGAAGAAAAAGCACCGGCGAACUCCGUGCCAGCAGCCGCGGUAAUACGGAGGAUGCGAGCGUUAUCCGGAUUUAUUGGGGUUAAGGGGUGCGCAGGCGGAGGUGCAAGUCAGCGGUCAAAUUGCGGGGCUCAACCCCGUACUGCCGUUGAAACUGCAUGCCUUGAGUGCGCGAGAAGUAUGCGGAAUGCGUGGUGUAGCGGUGAAAUGCAUAGAUAUCACGCAGAACUCCGAUUGCGAAGGCAGCAUACCGGCGCGCAACUGACGCUCAUGCACGAAAGCGUGGGUAUCGAACAGGAUUAGAUACCCGGGUAGUC
rnacentral:rRNA from 1 species